UCAUGAUGUGAAAAAAAGCACUGCAACUUUCAGACAUUUAGUUUGCUCCUCUAUCCUUUAACAAUUAGUACUGUUUUGAGGGUGAGAAAGCGCUUAACAAUUCUCUAACCUUCUACACCAAAGAAUAUAUACAUAAAAUAUUUUUCUAUAUAGGAGCAAGCACCAUUUCAAGGGACACAAAACAGGCUAUUUCAGCAUCGCCUCUGCCUUCACAGCCCUUGCCGAUCAAGGUUGCUGACACAGCUGGACAUACACAGUGCCCUUGUGAGGGAGAGUCAGCAAGGUGAAAUUGACACAAAGGGUCGUUGUGCCUGCCCUGCCUGGGUGUUUUUUCAAAAUCUUGUGGAUAUGAAACUAUAGACGGUGUUGUGACCUCUGCUGCAGUGGCUUGGAAAUUCACUGGCAGCGGGCACAGAAAAAGAUAUGAAUUAUGAGAGAGAUUUGAUGUGAGAUUCUCCACUGCUGGCUUUGAAAAUGGAAGAGGCCUCACAUGGCAAGGACCUGAAGUAGCCUCUGGGAGCUAAGAGUGAUUGACCAUUGUCCUGUGGCCUCAAGAAAAUCAGGAGUUCAGUCUGCAACUACAAGGAGCUGAACGCUGCCAACAACCUCAAUGACACUGGAAGAACACACUGAACUCCAGAGAACACAGCCCAGGCCAAUACAUUGAUUUUAGCCGUGUGAAACCUAUUGUAGAUAACUCAGUUGUGCUGUGCUUAGACUUUUUUUUUUUUUUUUUUUUUGAGACGAAGUAUUGCUCUGUCGCCCAGGCUGGAGUGCAGUGACACGAUCUUGGCUCACUGCAACCUCCGCCUCCCGGGUUCAAACGAUUAUCCUGCCUCAGCCCCCUGUGUAGCUGGGAUUACAGGCACCCGCCACCAUGCCCGGCUAAUUUUUGUAUUUUUAGUAGAGACAGGGUUUCACCAUGUUGGCCAGGCUGGUUUCGAACUCCUGACCUCAAGUGACUGCCCGCCUUGGCCUCCCAAAGUGCUGGGAUUACAGGCGUGAGCCACCGCGUUCUGCCACUGUGCUCAGACUUCUGACAUAGAGAACUGCGAACUAAUAAAUGGCUUUUACAGCACUAAUUUUUUGUUAGUUUAUUACACAGCAAUAUAGAAAACUAAUAAAUAUCAAGUGAAAAUGAAUUGUUUGCUUCUAAGCACUUGAUUUAGAUAAAUCCUACAGGUUUGUUCAUGUAAUUAAAAAUAUGUGUAAUUUCCAUUGUAAGUUCUUUAUUCUUUUUUAGUGAUUACUCGAGAUGAUAGUAUGCAUUUUUAAACUGAUAUUGAUAACAUUCUUUACUAUUUCCUUGAUAAUGCUAAGCUCUUAGCAACUGCAUUCCACAUCCUUUUGUCUGUAUGCCAUUGUUGACAUGCAUUUUAAUUCUGUAUAUAUUUUAAAUACAGUAGCUAUAAUUAUUAUUUUUAUUUCACCAAUUAGCAUACAUUUAGAUAUUUCCAAAUCUUUAAGCAUUAUGUUAGUCUUCAGUUAUUUCUGCCUAUUAUUUGUUCAGUAUCAGCUUUCUUAGGAUAGGUUCUUAUUUACUAGUACUUAUUAGUAUUUUUUUUUGUUAGCAUAUUCUAAUAUUGUUUGAAUGGAAUAAAUUUUUUUACCUUCACUUUGAAAAUAUAUUUAUUUUCUAUAUAAUGAAUUAUCAUUUGGUAUAUUCUCUGUCAAUACUUUUAAAAUGUUAUUCCACUCUUUAUUUUUUCCAACAUAUCUGUUGACAGCUCCCAGUCUUCCUGCUUCUCCUUUAAAGGCACCUAUGUGUUUUCUCUGGCUCGUUUUAAAAUCCUUCCCUCCCCUCUUUCUUGAAAUUAUUAGCUUUUUUUUUUUUUUUUUUUUUUUUUUUAGCAGUCUAUCCCUCCUUCUUGGAAUUAUUAGUUUUAAACUGUUCUUUAAUAACUCUAAUGAAUUUUGAAAAAUUCCUGCCCCAAAUCCCUCUCAAUAUUGCCUCUGCAUCAUUCUUCCUUUCUUUUCUUCUACUGCAAAAAUAAUUACACAAAUGCUAUUUUUUAAUUAUUUUUUUAUUUUUUUAUUUUUUAGACGGAGUCUUGCUCACUCUGUCGCCCAGGCUGGAGUACAGUGGCGCCAUCUUGGCUCACUGCAAGCUCUGCCUCCUGGGUUCACGCCAUUCUCCUGCCUCAACCUCCCUAGUAGCAGGGACUACAGGUGCCUGCCACCAUGCCUGGCUAGUUUUUUGUAUUUUUAGUAGAGACGGGGUUUCACCAUGUCAGCCAGGAAGGUCACGAUCUCCUGACCUAGUGAUCCACCCACCUCAGCCUCCCAAAGUCCUGGGAUUACAGGUGUGAGUCACUGCGCCCGGCCAACAAAUGCUAUUUUUGCUUUGACCCUUUUCCUACUUAUAUUCAU
rnacentral:lncRNA from 1 species